AGCUUUUGUAGGUGAAGAACCUGAAGGAUCUGAGGCUGUGCCAGUACAUGCUGGAGAAAUACUUGACUGGACUCGGGAGUAGGAGCCUAGACAUUGGCCCACAGAAGUGCUGUUCUCCUUCUUUGGAUACCCGUCACAACAACACAAUCUUCUCUGUCUACUGGAGUUGUCUUGGUUGUAGAUUUGGAGAUCCUCAAUAUCCCAGCUUAGUUCUCUAAUGUUAAGUCAUAUCGACUCUUAGCAUAGUACUUUAUUUGCCACUGUUCUUUCUACCUUUAUUUUGCCAGAAUUUUCUAUGGGUAAGUUAUUCCAUCUAUAACACUUUAUGAUGUGUAAGCCCACACGAAGGUACCCAGAGCCCCUACACAAUGUGCUCUUAUUUACCUGUGAGAAGUCCAAGCCAGUAACCCCAAUCUUAACUCAGUGGUGAGAAGGAAUUUAAAACUUAGAACAGGACUUGUUUUCAUUCCUUUCUUGUUAGUAUCAUUCACAACUUCUGUAGAAGUUGGGAGUCCAGAAAGCAAAGGGCGGGAUUUUCUCACAUGAUCUUGACCCAUGUUGGGUUUUUUGUCUUCCAUCUCCACCUUUAACAUUUAAUAUACCACAUCUCUCCAAAGGUCAUGCCUAUUCUAGUGUGCUGCACUCAGUGAAGAAGUUGGAGGAAGUGUCAAAAGAGUGAAGGCCAAGCUCUGACUGUGACAGAGAGUUUGAGAUGGACAAAUGAUGCCUUGAAAAACACGUGACUUUUCGCUGUGACCUCCAUCUACUGUAAAUAACCAACAACCUGUUCAAGGAUCAAUGUGCCUCUGAGAUGAGGACAACAAGGCAUCACUAAGAAAUCUAUAUAGUCCUACCUCCCAGAAGAUGAGUGAAGGUGUUACAGUUAGGAUGACUGUUGACAUGAGGCUCUCAGAGGUUCACCACAAAUCGGAAGGACAAGAUUGAGAUUGCCAUUCUUACGGUCUUUCCAUAGUCUCCCCUUGCAAUUAGAAUUGACCAUCACUGGGGACCUCAUCUAUUAGAUGAAGGAUGUCUAGAAAGCCUCUGGACAGGCAGCAUGGCAGAAAUCAACUCUUUCCAAAAAAAAAAAAAAAAAAGGCCUGCUGCUGACACUGGAUAGAGCACAAACAAGCUCUCUGUCUGACUCCUUCAGCUCUUGCAUAUCCCCUUGGCUAACAUUUCAGAGCUUCUGAUUCUUCAGACAUCAGCUUUUUGAUACUGAAGAGAUUGUUCUACCUGAUGAGACCAGGCCUAGAAGAUGGACUACAUCCAAGAAGCCUGGCCCAUCUAAGGCCAAGUCACAUCUUUAAGAAAUAUUUGAAAGCAUUUGUGCACGGGAUAAAGGUGCAAGGACCAAAGUCUCCUUAGACAUUCCAGCCUACAGAGGGUCUGACAGACUCAGGUCAAAGGUUACGUCUGAAGCCUAGAUCAUGAAGAAGGCCCCACUCCACAGGAGAAGUCUGUGGCUGAUGCUGUUGCAACCAGGACUAUGAUUGUGAAACUUGUGUCUGUGGAUAGCAGAUUCACAAAUCUUGUGCCCAGAGGUCAAAAUAAACCUGUCAGUCCGGGAGUCUUAACAAGAAUGAUACUCUGGGAUUCAUCUAAGCCAGGCCUCUUACUCAACCCUUCUGCUGCCUAUUUCUUGGUUCUAAGCAUGGACCUCAAAGUCACCCUAAGCCUGCAUCCUGAGUUCAC
ensembl:lncRNA